rnacentral:lncRNA from 10 species
ACACUUCCCCCUCUUCUGCAGCAGACGGACUGAGUUCCUCUAAUCCCUGUGUUCCUUCUCCCCCAUCUUUCUAAAACCCUUCUCUGAGAGAGGAAUAACUAUAGCUUCAGGGAUAAUAUAGCUUUAAGGAAACUUUUGGCAGAUGUGGACGUCGUAACAUCUGGGCAGUGUUAACAGAAUCCCGGAGGCCGGGACAGACCAGGAGCCACUCGUUCUAGGAAUGUUAAAGUAGAAGGUUUUUUCCAAUUGAUGAGAGGAGCAGAGAGGAAGGAGAAAGAGGAGGAGAGAGAAAAAGGGCACAAAAUACCAUAAAACAGGUUCUGGCUACUAUCCGGAUGAAAGCUACAAUGAAGUAUAUGCAGAGGAGGUCCCACAGGCUCCUGCCCUGGACUACCGAGGAUUUUGUGUGGACACAGGUUUUUAUUUCACUGGCAUAAAUACCUUUAAGUGGGAUUGCAGAGUCGUAUGUCCCCCGAUGGUGUUAUACAUUAAAUAUCCAGGAUGGAGAAGCCACAUGCUACUCACCGAAGGGAGGAAAUUAUCACAGCAGCCUGGGCACGCGUUGUGAGCUCUCCUGUGACC